rnacentral:lncRNA from 10 species
GAGGUGCGGCGCGGGCCCUCCUCCCAUUGGAUCCGGCGCUCCCGGCAGGGGGUGACCUUUAUCUUCAUGGCCCAGUGUGACUGCAAGAGCUCUAGCAUCCAAGUUCCCAGCAGAAGGAUGGAGGACUGGCUGGAAAAACAAGGAGACACAGGGUAUGCAUCAGGAUCUUUCUGCUGAUGCAGCUGUUAAGAGUGUUUCAUAAACUGUGACAACACUAAGACUUGAAGAAGCUGAGUGAGAAGGCCAUGCAGAUAUCUUGGAGAAGUGCAUUCCAGGCAGAGGAAAAGCCAGUGCAGAGACACUGAAGCAGGGCAUGACUGAUGUGUAUAAGGAGCAUCAUAUACAUGAUCAUCUACAGUCCACUGAGGAGAAUAGCAGACGAGAGGCCAGGUGCAGUGCAUGUAAUCCCAGCACUUUGGGAGACUGAGAUGGGAAGAUCGCUUGAGGCCAGGAGUGCAAGACCAGCCUGGGCAACACAGCAAGACCUUGAUUCUACUAAAAAAAAAAAAGGAUCCUUCAACUUCAACAAUAAUAACACAAGG